CAGGUAGUAGGUGGUGUAACGGACCACCUAGCCUAAGACGGGUACGGGCCUUGAGAGAGGGAGCCCGGAGAUGGGUUCUGAGACACGAACCCAGGCCCUACGGGGCGCAGCAGGCGCGAAACCUUCGCACUGCGCGAAAGCGCGACGAGGGGAGCCCGAGUGCCUCUCCAUUUCGGGGAGGCUUUUCACAAGCCUAAAAAGCUUGUGGAAUAAGGGCUGGGCAAGACGGGUGCCAGCCGCCGCGGUAAUACCCGCAGCUCAAGUGGUGGUCGCUUUUAUUGAGCCUAAAACGUUCGUAGUCGGCCUUGUAAAUCCCUGGGUAAAUCGGGGCGCUUAACGUUUCGAAUUCCGGGGAGACUGCAAGGCUAGGGACCGGGCGAGGUCAGAGGUACUUUCGGGGUAGGAGUGAAAUCCUGUAAUCCCGAAGGGACCACCUGUGGCGAAAGCGUCUGACUUGAACGGCUCCGACGAUGAGGAACGAAGGCUAGGGGAGCAAACCGGAUUAGAUACCCGGGUAGUCCUAGCUGUAAACUCUGCCCGCUUGGUGUGGCUUGUACUUCGGGUGCAGGCUGUGCCGGAGCGAAGGUGUUAAGCGGGCUGCUUGGGGAGUACGGCCGCAAGGUUGAAACUUAAAGGAAUUGGCGGGGGAGCACCGCAACGGGAGGAUGCGUGCGGUUUAAUGGAUCAACGCCGG
rnacentral:rRNA from 1 species